CGCCACGUGGCCUUCCGAUAGCUCGAGUCCCCGGAAGCGGGUUGGAGGAUCUCUGCGCCCCCACAUGAUGGAGGAGAAUGGGAGAAUGGCAGGAGUUCGGUACAGCGUCGUGAGAUUUUGCGGUCCGUGUGAUUUACGUGUGAACGCGAGAACAAUGGUGUAAUAUUUAAUGGGGCGAAAGGAUUGGGAUUGGAAUUUGUAAUUUGAAUAUUUUGGUGAAUCCAUUUUGUUUUUUUUUAUAUUGAUUU